CACGUAUGGGGCGAGCGUUGUUCGGAAUUAUUGGGCGUAAAGGGUAUGCAGGCGGUUUCGUAAGUCUGGUGUAUAAUCCCUCAGCUUAACUGAGGAUCUGCGCUGGAAACUGUGAGACUAGAGUACAGGAAGGGGAGUUGGAAUUCCAGGUGUAGGGGUGAAAUCUGUAGAUAUCUGGAAGAACAUCAGUGGCGAAGGCGAACUCCUGGCCAUGUACUGACGCUGAGAUACGAAAGCGUGGGGAGCAAACAGG
rnacentral:rRNA from 1 species